rnacentral:lncRNA from 1 species
UGAACUAUGUGCAACUGGAUCAGCAUCACAGCUCUGGACUCUGAGAGUCCCCAGGAGGCUCCAACACACACACACACACACACACACACACACACGCACGCACGCACGCUCGCGCGCGCGCGCGCGCGCAGAGCUGCAUCACAACUCCAUAGUGUAACCGCCACAAGGAGGGAAAUCCUGGGGACAGGGGUGUCAUUUCCCUGUCAGCACCUUAACCUGAGCGCCAGCCCAUUCCAGUGCAGACGGUGAUGCCCUCAGUCCUAGGCUGGGACAGGGAGUGGCCAGCUGCCGUGGAGUGGGACGGUUACCAUGAGCAGAAGAAACACAGGAUUUGGACACUGGGGUGAUUGCUCAACGUGCUUCCCAGAUCUUGCUAGAGUUCUUCCUUCCUGGCAGUCUCAGCAGCCCCGAAUGACAUUCCCUGGAUUCCUGAAGCCGAGGCCCUGCCUUCUUGCACGUCCUCAGACUUGCAUCUGGUGCUGGCUUAAGUGGGGAUGAGGGACAGUACAAGAUGUACCCACGCUGCCAGUGCAGAUGAGCAGGGCCCUGUGACUCUAUGGCCCAGAGCUGGGGCUGGUGCCUCGCACUGCGACACAGCAAUCACACAGCCCUGUGCAGAAGGCCCUCCACUGGAUGGGAGGCUCUUUGGCCACUGUCUUGAUCCUUAAGUUUGAAGAAGUCUCUAUGUUCGUAUUUUACCUGGGGACACACAGAUUAUGUAGGCAAUCCUGCCAAGAGCUCUGCAAUCAGACGCUCCCCGGUAGAGAGGAAUCACACAGGUCAUCUCCUCCCAGCAGGAGCCCCAGGGAGGCAGGGGCCUCCAGGUGACUGGAUAUGAACCAUAGGCAGUGAGGGGCAGGAGUCAACAGCUGGCCCAGGGGCUUCCUGAUCUUGGUGUUGCCUGGGGGCUAGGUCUUGUAGGCCAUGUCUGCUCAGGGUUCUCUGCCUGCCUGCCUACCCCUCUUCCCUCUUCCUCUUCCCCCUCCCCCUUCC